CAGGAUUCAAGGAAAAGGAUUCCUUUUCUUCCAUGAGUGCUUUGUUUUAUUAUCACCAUGAGCAAAGCAGCAGAAAUCUCUGACCCGAUUGGCUCUGCCCAAAAAUCUCCAUAUGAAAAGAGUGCCCUGACACGGCAAAGUGUUCCUCAACCUCCCUCCAGAAGCCCCUUGGCACAUCUGGCACAACGGGGCGUUCAGCACCACGGAC